UACGUAGGGCGCAAGCGUUGUCCGGAAUUAUUGGGCGUAAAGAGCUCGUAGGCGGUCUGUCACGUCGGCUGUGAAAACCCGAGGCUCAACCUCGGGCCUGCAGUCGAUACGGGCAGACUAGAGUUCGGUAGGGGGAGACUGGAAUUCCUGGUGUAGCGGUGAAAUGCGCAGAAUAUCAGGAGGAACACCGGUGGCGAAGGCGGGUCUCUGGGCCGAAACUGACGCUGAGGAGCGAAAGCGUGGGGAGCGAACAGG
rnacentral:rRNA from 1 species